CGGGGAAUUAGGGUUCGAUUCCGGAGAGGGAGCCUGAGAAACGGCUACCACAUCUAAGGAAGGCAGCAGGCGCGCAAAUUACCCAAUCCUAAUACAGGGAGGUAGUGACAAGAAAUAACAAUACAGGACUUUUUGGUUUUGUAAUUGGAAUGAGUUAAGUAUAAACCCCUUUACAAGUAUCAAUUGGAGGGCAAGUCUGGUGCCAGCAGCCGCGGUAAUUCCAGCUCCAAUAGCGUAUAUUAAAGUUGUUGCAGUUAAAAAGCUCGUAGUUGGAUUUCUGUUAAUAAUUUGUAUAUUAUACUUUUUAAGGUGUUUAUAUAAUAUUAACAUAAUUCAUAUUACUAUUUUUUUUUAGUAUAUGAAAUUUUACUUUGAGAAAAUUAGAGUGCUUAAAGCAGGCGUUAGCCUUGAAUACUCCAGCAUGGAAUAAUAUUAAAGAUUUUUAUCUUUCUUAUUGGUUCUAAGAUAAGAAUAAUGAUUAAUAGGGACAGUUGGGGGCAUU
rnacentral:rRNA from 1 species